CUUCAGCGAGCCGAGCCACAACGGUUCGCCCGCGCGCUCCCGCCCGUACGUCGCCAGCAGCGCGCCCGCCUC
rnacentral:antisense_RNA from 1 species